rnacentral:rRNA from 1 species
UACGAAGGGUGCUAGCGUUGUUCGGAAUUACUGGGCGUAAAGAGCGCGUAGGCGGUUAUACAAGUCAGGGGUGAAAUCCCAGAGCUUAACUCUGGAACUGCCUUUGAAACUGUAUAGCUGGAGUGUGUGAGGGGAUAGCGGAAUUCUUAAUGUAGAGGUGAAAUUCGUAGAUAUUCGGAAGAACACCAGUGGCGAAGGCGACUUACUGGACACAUAUUGACGCUGAGGUGCGAAAGCGUGGGGAGCAAACAGG